GUGCCAGCAGCCGCGGUAAGACAGAGGGUGCAAACGUUGCUCGGAAUUACUGGGCGUAAAGCGCGUGUAGGCGGACCACCAAGUCGGACGUGAAAGCCCUGAGCUCAACUCAGGAACUGCAUCCGAAACUGGCGGUCUGGAGUAGUGGAGAGGAAAGCAGAAUUCCUGGUGUAGAGGUGAAAUUCGUAGAUAUCAGGAGGAACACCGGUGGCGAAGGCGGCUUUCUGGACACUUACUGACGCUGAGACGCGAAAGCGUGGGGAGCAAACAGGAUUAGAAACCCCCGUAGUCC
rnacentral:rRNA from 1 species